rnacentral:tRNA from 1 species
GCACUAGUGGUCUAGUGGUAAAAUAGUACCCUACCACGGUACAGUCCCGGGUUCGAUUACUUGCUUGUGCU